CCGUUCCUAUUUGCUGCAGAGCCUGUACUUGUUAUUGCGGCGCUUGCUGCCUGUCUGGUCGGGCGCUUCUACUCUGAUUGCAGCAACACGGGUGACUUGGCCAGUAGUCAGUGGAAAAGGAUUGUGGGCAACAUUACAUGGCCUGGGGCGUCUUUAUGCCUCCCUGCGACUCUCCUUUCAUGCAGUUUCCAAAAAUAUAUUGAGUUGAGCUGCUGCCCUAGAUUGGUGAAGUGGAAAUAGGGCAAAAGGGAUUUCCACAUUCAGAAGGAAAAAAGUGAAAGGUUGAUGGUGUUUUGGGUUCAACAGAAACUUGUCCUCUCAUGAAAAGGGCCUUUCCCUCCCUCCUCCUUGCUUCCCAACAGGUUUUCCAUUGCAGUUGAGUUCACAUAGCUUUUAAUACUGGUGUGUGGGUUGGGAAGGACCAUGUUGGCUCAUAUUAAGACAGAUUAUCUUUGUGUUAUUUAAAACCAUCUGCAGUCAUCACUAUUGGUCAGAGGCCGUUUUUGUAGAAACUUCCUUUUAUCUCAUUAGUUAUUCUUUAAACCAGACAGCCUCACAACUUCAUUUCUUCUGGCCUUAUAACUUACUAUUUUCAAGGCCUUUGUUCUGCUUGCUCGUCAGGGCCUUUCUUUACAACAUAUAUUCUUAACCAAAUUUAAGCUAACUCUAAUUCUUUAAUUUUAUAUUUAUUCUACACACACUCAUUGCCAGAACACACUGUUAUAAUCUACAUCUCAAAGGUGUCAUAUAAAAUAUCAUAUGUUAACUGGUGACUUGCUGGUCCU